rnacentral:rRNA from 1 species
AUUCCAGCUCCAAUAGCGUAUAUUAAAGUUGUUGCAGUUAAAACGCUCGUAGUCGGAUUUCGGGGCGGGCCGACCGGUCUGCCGAUGGGUAUGCACUGGCCGGCGCGUCCUUCCACCCGGAGACCGCGCCUACUCUUAACUGAGCGGGCGCGGGAGACGGGUCUUUUACUUUGAAAAAAUCAGAGUGUUUCAAGCAGGCAGUCGCUCUUGCAUGGAUUAGCAUGGGAUAAUGAAAUAGGACUCUGGUGCUAUUUUGUUGGUUGGAGGCCAAGGUAAUGAUUAAUAGGGAUAGUUGGGGGUAUUCAUAUUUAAUUGUCAGAGGUGAAAUUCUUGGAUUUAUUAAAGACUAACUUAUGCGAAAGCAUUUGCCAAGGAUGUUUUCAUUA